rnacentral:rRNA from 1 species
UACGUAGGGGGCAAGCGUUGUCCGGAUUUAUUGGGCGUAAAGAGCGUGUAGGCGGUUCGGUAAGUCCGUUGUGAAAACUCGAGGCUCAACCUCGAGACGCCGAUGGAAACCAUCGAACUAGAGUCCGGAAGAGGAGAGUGGAAUUCCUGGUGUAGCGGUGAAAUGCGCAGAUAUCAGGAAGAACACCCGUGGCUAAGGCGGCUCUCUAGUACGGUACUGACGCUGAGACGCGAAAGCGUGGGGAGCGAACAGG